rnacentral:rRNA from 1 species
AGAGUUUGAUCAUGGCUCAGAACGUACGCUGGCGGCACGCCUAACACAUGCAAGUCGAACGAAGUAGCAAUACUUAGUGGCAGACGGGUGAGUAACAUGUAGGUAUCUGCCCUUUGGCCUGGAAUAACACGAGGAAACUUGUGCUAAUACCGGAUAAGUCUUUACGGAGAAAGCUUUAUGCACCAUUGGAUGAGCCUGCACUUGAUUAGUUUGUUGGUAGGGUAAUGGCCUACCAAGACUGUGAUCAAUAGCUGAUUUGAGAGGAUGAUCAGCCACAUUGGGACUGAGACACGGCCCAAACUCCUACGGGAGGCAGCAGUGGGGAAUCUUGCACAAUGGAGGAAACUCUGAUGCAGCGAUGCCGCGUGAGUGAAGAAGGCCCUUGGGUUGUAAAGCUCUUUCGUCGGGGAAGAAAAUGACUGUACCCGAAUAAGAAGGUCCGGCUAACUUCGUGCCAGCAGCCGCGGUAAUACGAAGGGACCUAGCGUAGUUCGGAAUUACUGGGCUUAAAGAGUUCGUAGGUGGUUGAAAAAGUUAGUGGUGAAAUCCCAGAGCUUAACUCUGGAACUGCCAUUAAAACUUUUCAGCUAGAGUAUGAUAGAGGAAAGCAGAAUUUCUAGUGUAGAGGUGAAAUUCGUAGAUAUUAGAAAGAAUACCAAUUGCGAAGGCAGCUUUCUGGAUCAUUACUGACACUGAGGAACGAAAGCAUGGGUAGCGAAGAGGAUUAGAUACCCUCGUAGUCCAUGCCGUAAACGAUGUGUGUUAGACGUUGGAAAUUUAUUUUCAGUGUCGCAGGGAAACCGAUAAACACACCGCCUGGGGAGUACGACCGCAAGGUUAAAACUCAAAUGAAUUGACGGGGACCCGCACAAGUAGUGGAGCAUGUGGUUUAAUUCGAAGAUACGCGCAGAACCUUACCAACACUUGACAUGUUCGUCGCGACUCUAAGAGAUUAGAGUUUUCGGUUCGGCCGGACGAAACACAGGUGCUGCAUGGCUGUCGUCAGCUCGUGUCGUGAGAUGUUGGGUUAAGUCCCGCAACGAGCGCAACCCUCACUUUUAGUUGCCAUCAUUAAGUUGGGCACUCUGAAAGAACUGCCAGUGAUAAGCUGGAGGAAGGUGGGGAUGACGUCAAGUCCUCAUGGCCCUUACGUGUUGGGCUACACACGUGCUACAAUGGUAUCUACAACAGGAAGCAAGACUGCGAAGUUAAGCAAAUCCCUAAAAGAUACCUCAGUUCGGAUUGCACUCUGCAACUCGAGUGCAUGAAGCUGGAAUUACUAGUAAUCGUGGAUCAGCGUGCCACGGUGAAUGCGUUCCCGGGUCUUGUACACACCGCCCGUCACACCAUGGGAGUUGGUUCUACCUUAAGGCAAGGUUUCAAACCCUUGACCACGGUAUAGUCAGCGACUGGGGUGAAGUCGUAACAAGGUA